rnacentral:rRNA from 1 species
GACGAACGCUGGCGGCGUGCUUAACACAUGCAAGUUGAACGAAGUGGCGAACGGGUGAGUAACGCGUAAUCAACCUGCCCUUCAGAGGGGGACAACAGUUGGAAACGACUGCUAAUACCGCAUACUGAAGGAGGGGAUUGCGUCUGAUUAGCUAGUUGGAGGGGUAACGGCCCACCAAGGCGAUGAUCAGUAGCCGGUCUGUGAGGAUGAACGGCCACAUGGGGACUGAGAAACGGCCCAGCCUCCGACGGGAGGCAGCAGUGGGGAAUCUUCGGCAAUGGACGAAAGUCUGACGGAGCAACGCCGCGUGAGUGAUGACGGCCUUCGGGUUGGAAAGCUCUGUUAAUCGGGACGCGGUACCGGAAUAGAAAGCCACGGCUAACUACGUGCCAGCCGCCGCGGUAAUUC